rnacentral:rRNA from 1 species
AGUGGCGCACGGGUGCGUAACGCGUGGGAACCUGCCCUUAGGUUCGGAAUAACAGUUAGAAAUGACUGCUAAUACCGGAUAAUGUCUUCGGACCAAAGAUUUAUCGCCUUUGGAUGGGCCCGCGUUGGAUUAGCUAGUUGGUGGGGUAAAGGCCUACCAAGGCGACGAUCCAUAGCUGGUCUGAGAGGAUGAUCAGCCACACUGGGACUGAGACACGGCCCAGACUCCUACGGGAGGCAGCAGUGGGGAAUAUUGGACAAUGGGCGAAAGCCUGAUCCAGCAAUGCCGCGUGAGUGAUGAAGGCCUUAGGGUUGUAAAGCUCUUUUACUAGGGAUGAUAAUGACAGUACCUAGAGAAUAAGCUCCGGCUAACUCCGUGCCAGCAGCCGCGGUAAUACGGAGGGAGCUAGCGUUGUUCGGAAUUACUGGGCGUAAAGCGCACGUAGGCGG